ensembl:rRNA 5S_rRNA 5S ribosomal RNA
AAUGGGAGGCAUGCUACCCUGAAUGAGCCUGAUCCUGUCUGAUCUCAGAAGCUAAGCAGGGUCAUGCCUGGUUAAUACUGGAUGGGAGUCCACCUAAGAAGACCAGGUGCUGUAGUUG